rnacentral:rRNA from 1 species
CCUACGGGUGGCUGCAGUCGAGGAUCUUCGGCAAUGGGCGAAAGCCUGACCGAGCGACACCGCGUACAGGAUGAAGGCCUUCGGGUUGUAAACUGUUGUCACGCUAUAGGAACCCCUUGGUGUUAACAGCGCCAAGGCUGACUAAAGCGAGAGGAAGCAACGGCUAACUCUGUGCCAGCAGCCGCGGUAAGACAGAGGUUGCAAACGUUGUUCGGAAUCACUGGGCAUAAAGCGCACGUAGGCGGUCUGUUAAGUCAGGUGUGAAAGCCCCCGGC